rnacentral:rRNA from 1 species
AACGAACGCUGGCGGCAGGUCUUAGGCAUGCAAGUCGAACGGGUGUAGCAAUACAUCAGUGGCGCACGAGUGAGUAACGCGUGGGAAUUUGCCCAUCGGUGGGGAAUAACGUUUGGAAACGAACGCUAAUACCGCAUACGUCGAGAAAUCGAGAAAGAUUUAUCGCCAAUGGAUAAGCCCGCGUUGGAUUAGCUUGUUGUUAGGGUAAUGGCCUACCAAGGGGAUAUUCCAUAGCUGGUCUGAGAGGACGACCAGCCACGCUGGGACUGAGCCCCGGCCCAGACUCCUACGGGAGGCAGCAGCAAAAAAUAUGGGACAAGGGAGGAAACUCUGAUCCAGCCAGGCCGCGUGGGUGAAAAAGGCCUUCGGUUUGUAAAGCUCUUUUAGUCGUGAGGAUGAUGACGGGGGCGACAGAAAAAGCACCGGCUAACUUCGUGCCAGCAGCCGCCGAAA